GGGCAGUGAUGAGAAAUGUUUGUCAUGCACCACUCUGACUCUUGUGAGUAUGCUGAUAAUACACUCUACCCAUAUUGUUUCUGAGCCC